AGAGUUUGAUCCUGGCUCAGGAUGAACGCUAGCGGCAGGCCUAACACAUGCAAGUCGAGGGGCAGCACAGGUAGCAAUACUGGGUGGCGACCGGCGCACGGGUGAGUAACGCGUAUGCAACCUACCUUUAACAGGAGGAUAGCCCCGAGAAAUCGGGAUUAAUACUCCAUAUCAUUUAUGAAUCGCAUGGUUUAUAAAUAAAAGUUCCGACGGUUAAAGAUGGGCAUGCGUGACAUUAGCUAGUUGGUGAGGUAACGGCUCACCAAGGCAACGAUGUCUAGGGGUUCUGAGAGGAUUAUCCCCCACACUGGUACUGAGACACGGACCAGACUCCUACGGGAGGCAGCAGUGUGGAAUAUUGGUCAAUGGUCGCAAGACUGAACCAGCCAUGCCGCGUGCAGGAUGAAGGUUCUAUGAAUCGUAAACUGCUUUUCUAAGGGAAGAAACCUAUCCUCGUGAGGGUAGUUGCCGGUACUUUAGGAAUAAGCAUCGGCUAACUCCGUGCCAGCAGCCGCGGUAAUACGGAGGAUGCGAGCGUUAUCCGGAUUCAUUGGGUUUAAAGGGUGCGUAGGCGGAUCAUUAAGUCAGUGGUGAAAUCUUUCGGCUUAACUGGAAAAUUGCCAUUGAUACUGAUGAUCUUGAAUGCAGUUGAGGUAGGCGGAAUGUGUAAUGUAGCGGUGAAAUGCUUAGAUAUUACACAGAACACCGAUUGCGAAGGCAGCUUGCUAAACUGUGAUUGACGCUGAUGCACGAAAGCGUGGGGAUCAAACAGGAUUAGAUACCCUGGUAGUC
rnacentral:rRNA from 1 species